rnacentral:rRNA from 1 species
UAUCUCUGUAGAGUCUGCAUAUCAAUAAGCGGAGGAAAAGAAACUAACUAGGAUUCCCUUAGUAACGGCGAGUGAAGCGGGAAGAGCUCAAAUUUGAAAUCUUCAAGGUUUUACCUUGACGAAUUGUAGUUUAAAGAAGUGUUUUCUGUUGGUGUUUUGGUAAAAGUUCUUUGGAAUAGGACAUCAUAGAGGGUGAGAAUCCCGUAUUUGACCAUUACUUCCAGCUUUGUGAUACACUUUCAAAGAGUCGGAUUGUUUGGGAAUGCAGUCCAAAAUGGGUGGUAAAUUUCAUCUAAAGCUAAAUAUUGGCGAGAGACCGAUAGCGAACAAGUACCGUGAGGGAAAGAUGAAAAGAACUUUGAAAAGAGAGUUAAACAGUACGUGAAAUUGUCAAAAGGGAAGCGUUUGACACCAGUGUUGUUUUCUCGAAAAUCAAUUGAAAAAGGCAGGAUUUUGUGUUGUAUUGACUUUAUCAGCUUUCUGCACUCUUUUCUUGUCUUUUUUAGUGCACUUUUCGUUUAACAAGUCAACAUCAAUUUCUUUUGUUGUAAAAGGGUCAUUGGAAGGUGGCUUUCACUUUCGGUGAAAGUGUUUAUAGCCUUUGGCCUCUGCAAUCGGAGAGAUUGAGGUCUGCAGCGUAGAUCCUUCGGGGUUAGAUACAGUUAGAUGCUAAGUUAUAGCCUUUCUAUAGACAACUUGUUGACUAUAAUCAUCAAUGUAGCUUACUCGCUUAUGCUAUUUUACCUACGCUUAGGAUGUUGACGAUCAGCUGAGCGCG